rnacentral:sRNA from 1 species
AAGGAUCAUUGAACAUGUCUGUCCAAACCGGUCACCAAUCGUACCCCGGGCUAGCCGUGAGUACGCUCGCGGUGUGCAAGGAGCGGGCGGCCAGGGCUCUUGCCCCUUGACUCAUGUUGGGGGGACAGGCUUGCACCUGGCGUGAGACCGAGACAGCCUUGCAGGCCGGGCCUGCCCUGAGGGCGCAGACCCCGGUCGGCUCUUGACUGACUCCCAAUCCAGGAGCUGAAGCUAUCAAGUCCGUCUGCAACUCCGCGGAGCUGGUGGACCGGACGCAUAACCAGAGACAACCCUCAACAACGGAUAUCUUGGCUCCCGCACCGAUGAAGAACGCAGCGAAAUGCGAUACCUAGUGUGAAUUGCAGAAUCAUGUGAAUCAUCGAGUCUUUGAACGCAAAUUGCGCCCAAGGUUUAGGCCAAGGGCAUGGCUGGCUCAGCGUCGAUGCACUCCCUCGCUCUCGCGUAUGCGACAGCGGAUCAUGGUUCCCCCGGCCUUUGGAUCGGGCGAACUGAAGCGCAAGCGGCUCCUGAGGCGUCCAUGGCGGCAAGCUCUGGCAGCGCGGUAAGCGGCCCUCAUCGGUUGUUAUGCCUGUCUGCCCAUUGAUUGUAGUCUAUGUCUGUAGAAGUCUUGUAUGCAGGAACAGAACAUGUAUUGUUAUGUCAAACUUUCGACCUGAGCUCAGGCAAGAGCACCCGCUGAACUUAA